rnacentral:rRNA from 1 species
CGCAAAUUACCCACUCCCGGCACGGGGAGGUAGUGACGAAAAAUAACGAUACGGGACUCAUCCGAGGCCCCGUAAUCGGAAUGAGUACACUUUAAACCCUUUAACGAGUAUCCAUUGGAGGGCAAGUCUGGUGCCAGCAGCCGCGGUAAUUCCAGCUCCAAUAGCGUAUAUUAAAGUUGUUGCGGUUAAAAAGCUCGUAGUUGGACUUGUGUCCCACGCUGUCGGUUCACCGUUCGUCGGUGUUUAACUGGCAUGCUCGUGCGGACGUCCUGCCGGUGGAUGCGGUCGGCCGUGGGCCUCUGGUCUGCGUGUCGGCGGUCCGAUGCAAUCCUACCGCGGUGCUCUUCACCGAGUGUCGAGGUGGGCCGGCACGUUUACUUUGAACAAAUUAGAGUGCUCAAAGCAGGCAGUGGUUCGCCUGAAUAUUGUGUGCAUGGAAUAAUGGAAUAGGACCUCGGUUCUAUUUUGUUGGUUUUCGGAACUUGAGGUAAUGAUUAAUAGGGACAGACGGGGGCAUUCGUAUUGCGACGUUAGAGGUGAAAUUCUUGGAUCGUCGCAAGACGAACCUAAGCGAAAGCAUUUGCCAUGAGUGUUUUCAUUAAUCAAGAACGAAAGUUAGAGGUUCGAAGGCGAUCAGAUACCGCCCUAGUUCUAACCAUAAACGAUGCCAGCUAGCGAUCCGCCGAAGUUCCUCCGAUGACUCGGCGGGCAGCUUCCGGGAAACCAAAGCUUUUGGGUUCCGGGGGAAGUAUGGUUGCAAAGCUGAAACUUAAAGGAAUUGACGGAAGGGCACCACCAGGAGUGGAGCCUGCGGCUUAAUUUGACUCAACACGGGAAACCUCACCAGGCCCGGACACCGGAAGGAUUGACAGAUUGAGAGCUCUUUCUUGAUUCGGUGGGUGGUGGUGCAUGGCCGUUCUUAUUUGGUGGAGCGAUUGUCU